GUUUUAAGUAGUAAAGAAACUCUCUGUAUCACAAGUCGUCAGCUCUGCCCUAGUAUUCCGCCAAGCUCUGCCCGUCUCCUUUAUCCGUGUUUUCUCAAAACGCAAGUUCUGAAUCUGGUUGUGUGUGAAUCUGCCCAAGUUUCCAUAUCGCUCGUUUGAGAAUCCGUGCGGAGCAAGCAUCUCAAGUAUUUUAUGCUAGUGAAAAUUCCAACAAAGGUUGGCAUGUAGUGAGGAAGACUCAACCUCAUGAUUCCUAUGAGAUUGUGAAACAAAUGGAUGAUGAUAUUGUAGACUUGGGAAAUCCUUCACUAAAGAAACAAAAAAGAAAUGAUGAGGUUCAAUAUGAAACCAUCAAUGAUUGAAAAUGAGGUGGGAUAGACUAUGAAGACUACUGCCAAUUCUGCAUUCGUCGCACCAGGUGCUAUAAGAAAAGGACAAGGAAGAGGAUGGGAACUUAGAUCUUUGGUUGAGAAAGAGAAUAUACCAACUAAGAGUUUAUUUUCUCAAUCUAGUGAUCUAGUUAAGCAAUACAUCCAAACAAUUGAAACAUGUGCUAUACGGAAGGGACGAGGACAAGGGCUUAAAAACUCUACCAUGUCUGCUAGUCAAGGAAUGAUACAUAAAAACUCCAUCGAUCGUGAGAAAGAGUAUAUGCAAAUUGAUAUUCCAUUGCCUUCAUCUAUUGAUCAAGUUAAGCAAUACACCCAAAAAUCGAAACAAGUUCAUCUAAUCCUGGAAAGGUAAAAAGAGUUCGAGGUAGGAACAAGUGCAAAUAAGUUGCAUCACUUGAAGUCGGACAAAAGCUGAAUGUAAUCUUUUACAACAAUCGAACGGUUGGAACAAAUAGCAAACUAUUUUCGAGGCACUUGGGUAGAAUAGUACGUGACCGCAAUAUGUGUCCGUUGCAGUAUCAUCGUGGAAUGAUAUUAAGCAAGAAAAUUUGAAUCACAUGUGGGCAGCUAUUGAGGAUAAAUUUGAGAGUGUUGACAUGAAUGAUCAUCGCGAUCAUAUCUUGGGAUGGAUGAAAGAGCUAUGGAAUAAAUAAAGAGGACACUUGCAUGCAAAAUAUGUGAAUGAUAAGCCAAUCCAACAUGUUCUUAAGAAUAUUCCAAUGGGCGUAGACAAGAAAGAAUGGGAGUGGGCAGAAAAGAUGGCAAUCCACCGAUUUGGCAACAAUUAUCUUUGAAACUCGUAAGAAAAAUAACAAGCUUGCUGAACCUGAAGCAAUUGAAAAACAUGCUUUGAUUGAAGAAAUUGUUCAGUUGGAUCCAUCUCUACCUAGCAUAAAGAUAGUAGAAAAAUAUUGUGGACCUCAAACUCGUAGCCAUGUAUCUGGCUUUGGGGGUAGAGUAAAGGCGAAAGACUUGAAAUGUGGCAUUUCUUAAAACGCUGAAUUACUGUCCGCACUACGUUCAACUAGAGAGGAAAACAAAUCUUUCAAUGAGGAAAACAAAUCCUUACAUGAUCGCUUGAGAAAGUGAAUAUGACAACUAAGAGUUUAUUUCCUCAAUCUAGUGAUCUAGUUAAGCAAUACAUCCAAACAAUUGAAACAUGUGCUAUAGGGAAGGGACGAGGACAAGGGCUUAAAAACUCUACCAUGUCUGCUAGUCAAGGAAUGAUACAUAAAAACCCCUUCGUUCUUGAGAAAGAGUAUAAUGCAAAUUGAUAUUCCAUUGCCUUCAUCUACUGAUCAAGUUCAGCAAUACACCCAAAUGUUGAAACAAGUGCUAUAGGGAAGGGACGGUAGCAAAUGCCUAGAUCAUGUUGCUCCUCUUUAGGGAUUUAUAAAAAUGAGGUGGGAUCUUUCCAUAAGAGUGUUGUUUUUGCUAACCAAUGUAUGCAAGCUCCUUCUAAAAGUACAAGAUCGAAUUUUACCAUAUCUUCUAAUCAAAAAACGCGUACAAUGGAUAAAAACUCCCUCGUUCUUGAGAAAGAGCAUAUGCAAGCCAAUAUUUUAUUGUCUCCAUCUACUAAUCAAGUUAUGCAACACUCCCAGACAGCUGAAACAGGUUCAUCUAAUCCUGGAAAGGUAAAAAGAGUUCGAGGUAGGAACAAGUGCAAAGAAGUUGCAUCACUUGAAGUCGGACAAAAGCUGAAAGUAACCUUUACAACAAUCGAACGGUUAGAACAAAUAGCAAACUAUUUUUGAGGCACUUGGGCAGAAUAGUACGUGACCACAAUAUGUGUCCGUUGGAGUAUCAUCGUGGAAUGAUAUUAAGCAAGAAAAGUUGAAUCACAUGUGGGCAGCUAUUGAGUUAACAAAUGUAGUGACUAGAUAAAUUUGAGAGUGUUGACAUGAAUGAUCAUCGCGAUCAUAUCUUGGGAUGGAUGAAAGAGCUAUGGAAUAAAUGGAGAGGACACUUACAUGCAAAAUAUGUGAAGGAUAAGCCAAUCUAACAUGGUCUUAAGAAUAUUCCAAAGGGUGUAGACAAGAAAGAAUGGGAGCGGUUAGUAAAGGAACAUUUUUCUUCAAAACAUUUUCAGGCUUAGAUUGAAGAAGUUGUUCGUCGGAUCCAUCUCUACCUAGCAUAGAGAUAGUAGAAAAAUAUUGUGGACCUCAAACUAGUAGCCAUGUAUUUGGCUUUGGGGGUGGAGUAAAGGUGAAAGACUUGAAAGGUGGCACUUCUUCAAAGGAUAAAUUACUGUCCGCGCUACGUUCAAACUCGAGAGGAAAACAAAUCUUUGAACGAGGAAAACAAAUCCCUACAUGAUCGCUUGUCUUCCUUAGAAAAUGAGAUGAAAGAAAUAAAGAAAAUAAGGUUUUGAAGAUUGAAGGUACAAGAAUGCAAGUUUGGAAGAUACACAAGCUCAUUAUUAUUUUGCUAGGAAUGUUAUGUAAAACUUGAUAUCGUUGUCUAACUCAUGAUGUUAGCUAAGUAUUUUUGUUAAGGUGUUGAGCAAAUAUUGAAACUAACAUGAUGGGAUGUUAACAUUGUAAUUAAUAUCUUUUUAUACCAAGAAUUUUUUGUAGCA